rnacentral:lncRNA from 1 species
GUAGUAUCGCCCAACACCUGCCCAUAUCGUCUGUAGUGUCCUUGAGUGGUCCAAGAAUCAUGUGUUGAUGUGGCUGAGCCAACAUCACAUGGAGAGCACAAAAAUCUUCCUCUGAAAUAGGAAUGACAAGGAAUGUUGUGACAGGGGAGUGGCCCUGACACGUCCCAAUGGAGGCCAAUUGUCGCCAAGACAUUCCUUUGUACUAUGUGGAAUGAAAUAACCAGGUGUCAAAAAUCUACAGCCUUGCAACACGGAGUUAUAAAAUCUGCUGGCUGGGCCUAAUAGCCUUUGCAAAAUAUAAUCACAGAUUCCACUGCUUGGAGAGUCUCCAUGGAAAUAACUCAAAACCAGUCUAAACUAGAAACAGAAGCCGAUGGAAACCGGGUGUCCAUGUGUGGAGGCAGGAGGAAAGUCAGGAGUUAGCAGGCCAGCUAGAGGCAGAAAGUAGCCUCUAGCCCGCAGAAACAGCCCCCAACCCCAC